rnacentral:lncRNA from 1 species
UUUUAGGUCUACAAUUUUGAAGAAUAUUACGAGUUAGAUAUCGAUAAUUAGAAAAAAAUUGUGAUAAAUUGUAAUGCUUCUUUUUUGCAAAAGAUUAAAGUAAAAUUAAAGGUUAAUGUUUCUAUAUUUUUGUUGUUGUCAUCUUUAUUGUGGACUCCUCUAAUCAAAAAUGGCAGAAAUGGAUGAAAAAUGAGAUGCGCCCACGAACCCCCCCCCCCCCAAAAAAAAAAAAAAAAACAGAAACAAAAAUGGAAACUGUUACAUUAUAAAGAAGGG